CAGCCCCGUUCCGGUGGGAUUUCAGCCCCGUUCCCAUGGGAUUCCAGCCCCGUUCCGGGGGGAUUCCCAAAGCUCGGCAGGAUUUGGAGUAGAAAUCAGGAAUAGAAACCAGGAUCCCAUGGGGUGGGAGAGAAUACCUCGUUCCUGGUGGAUCUGGAGGAAAAAAAUUCACUUUUUUGGGGGAAAAGAGGAGAAGGAGAGGACACCUCACUCCUGGUGCAUCUGGAGGUAUAAAAAUUCACUUUUUUUGGGGGAAAAUAGGAAGAGACACCUCUAAAAACCCCAAUUUUCUCAGGAUUUGGAGUAGAAAUCAGGAAUAGAAACCAGGAACCUCCCAGCCCUGAGAGCUCUGGGAUGGCAAAACUCCUCAUGAAAAGGGAUUUAAUAAAUAAAUGAGAAAUAAAUGAAGAAUAAAA